UAUGUCCAAGCUGGGAUUUGCGGCUUACCGCUUUUCUGUUUCAUGGUCUCGUAUUUUCCCUGAUGGUUUGGGAACAAAGGUCAAUGAGGAAGGAGUUGCCUACUACAACAAUCUCAUUAAUGCUCUGCUUGAUAAAGGUUUGCAGCCAUACUUGACAUUAUAUCAUUGGGAUCUACCGAACCAUCUUCAAGAGUCAGU